rnacentral:rRNA from 1 species
CAAUAGCGUAUAUUUAAGUUGCUGCAGUUAAAAAGCUCGUAGUUGGAUUUCGGGUGGGAAGGGCCGGUCCGCCGUUUCGGUGUGCACUUGCUACGCCCACCUUGCUGCCGGGGACGUGCUCUUGAGUUCACGCUCGGGACACGGAGUCGGCGAGGUUACUUUGAGUAAAUUAGAGUGUUCAAAGCAGGCCUACGCUCUGAAUACAUUAGCAUGGAAUAACACGAUAGGACUCUGGCCUAUCUUGUUGGUCUGUAGGACCGGAGUAAUGAUUAAGAGGGACAGUCGGGGGCAUUCGUAUUUCAUUGUCAGAGGUGAAAUUCUUGGAUUUAUGAAAGACGAACUACUGCGAAAGCAUUUGCCAAGGAUGUUUUCAUUAA